GAUGAACGCUAGCGGCAGGCCUUAUACAUGCAAGUCGAGGGGCAGCAUUUACUUCGGUAAAUGGCGACCGGCGAACGGGUGCGUAACGCGUAUGCAACCUACCUUUAACUGGGGCAUAGCUCGAAGAAAUUCGAAUUAAUUCCCCAUAGUACAAUAAUAUCGCAUGAUAUAAUUGUUAAAGAUUUAUCGGUUAAAGAUGGGCAUGCGUCUGAUUAGUUUGUUGGUGAGGUAACGGCUCACCAAGGCCACGAUCAGUAGGGGUUCUGAGAGGAUGAUCCCCCACAUUGGUACUGAGACACGGACCAGACUUCUACGGAAGGCAGCAGUAAGGAAUAUUGGGCAAUGGGCGAAAGCCUGACCCAGCCAUGCCGCGUGCAGGAUUGAAGACCUUAUGGGUUGUAAACUGCUUUUAUAUAGGAAGAAAAAACUCUUGCGAGAGUAACUGACGGUACUAUAUGAAUAAGGACCGGCUAACUCCGUGCCAGCCGCCGCCGUAACAC
rnacentral:rRNA from 1 species